AGGAAAAAUAAUGGUGGAUACCAAGGUGUGAGAUUACUGAGUCAAACGAUAGGCGCAUCCAAAGUGCGAAGGACUACUGUCCAAUGUGUUCUCCAAAAAGGUUGGCCAGUUUAUAUUCCCAGGAAUAUGAAUAUUUUCUGUCCACAAUUGGUUGAAUCUGUGGAUGUGGAAACUGCAGAUACAGAUGAAGAGCCGACUAUACUAGCUUUUUGUUUCCUUUUUCACUUCUGGGGUGUGUGUGUGUGGGUGUGUGUGUAUGGGUGUGUGUGUGUGUUUUAUUAAUCUCUUUGCCUGCAUAUUAGUUUCUUCCUCUUUAUUUGGAUUUUCACUAACAUUCUUUUCAGCUUCUUCAGUUGGAUACUUGUUGCCAAUAUACUUUUUUCAUUAUUAGAAUUAAAUAAAUGGGCCAGGCGUGGUGGCUCAUGCCUGUAA